rnacentral:lncRNA from 1 species
GGGCCGCACCUACGGCACAUGGAAGUUCCCAGGCUAGGGGUCACAUGGGAGCUGCAGCUGCUGGCCUACACCACAGCUAUAGCCACUCAGGAUCCAAGCUGCGUCUGCGACCUACACCAUAGCUCCUGACAGCACUGGAUCCUUAACCCUCUGAGCAGGGCCAGGGAUAGAACCAGCAUCCUUGCAGAUAAUAGUGGGUUUGUUACCUGCUGAGUCACAACGGGAACUCCCUGUGGGGGUUCUUUUCAAGUUAGUGUUUUUGUUUUAUUCAGAUAAAUAUUUGGAAGUAGAAUUGCUGGCUCAUAUGACAGUUCUAUUUUUAAUAUUUUGAGGAACCUCAAUACUGUUUUUCAUAGUGGCUGCACCAGUAACAGUCCUAGUAAAGGCAUACAACUAACACUGUUUCUUCCCCAAAAGUUUCCAAACCAAUAUCAGAAUGGGUACUAGAGCUCAGGUCUUCUGAAUCUGCAGUGCCCUUUCUGCUAAAUACAUACCAUGUGAUCUUUAAGCCUCUUUUUUGAAGCUGUGAUUUUUCUUUCUUUCUUUCUUUCUUUUUUUUUUUUUUUUUGGCAGGCAACCUCACUGGCUUGUUGAGAAGGUUACUGCUUUGCUCAGAGGUGCCACCUGCGUUUUUCAUGUGUUUGCCAAGUUGUGUAGGCCGUUUUUGGAAUUGGGAAGACAUUUAGAAGUGUACUUUGAAAAAGUGGACCCUCAGCAGUGAUGUUUCUGAUACCUAGUAUCUGUUGUUAUUGCAUAUAAGUACCAAAUCUUUAUUUUAGAAAUACAGAAUGGUCUCGAUCUAAAGGUAUCAAUGUAGCCAUGAGAAAAUGGCUUGAUUUUCUGACCUCAACCUUGUUUUCCUAUAGAAAUGUAGUUGGGGAUGUGAAAAUAAUUUCUCUAAGUAUAAGCAAGCAAUUUCAUUUCACCAAAGAAUGGGCAUUUUGUUGCCAUAGACCCACAUUUUUUGACAUUGUAGUAUUUCUGAAAUUGGGAUGUGUCUUAUAAUUGAUGAUAUCUUAUAGUAAAUUGGUAGCAUUUCUUUUCAAACUAGUAUUUAGUUGUGUUUCUUAAAAUGGUGGUGGCUUAGAUUUAAUGAAAUAUGGUACUUAGAGCCAACUAAGCUUCAUUUGUAAGUAAAUGUUAAGUGAAUAUAUAAUUUUGAUUUCAGUGGUGGAUUGUUUGGGGUUUGGAAGUCAGCCACUGGAGGUACUCUGCUAUACUUUAAGGUCCUAUAGUGUGGGCCUCAAUAGCCUUUACAUUAUAUAUGCAUAAUACACAUGGUUAACAGGUAUAUGUUUGUUAAAACCAGGAAUAUAUGAAUAAAUGAGUAACAAGGACAUAGUUUGAGAGGUGAGUUGAAAGAGUAUUUUCAUGAAUGGGGUCUGAGGUUACUGGUUAGGAGCCCAGUGCUGGUCACACCAUGCCGUCCAUGGUUUGAGUUCCAUCUGGGCGGGUGCUUAUUGGCCACAGCCUGCAUCAUCUACCCCGCAGCCAUCUGUAAACGAUGCUCUUGCUCUCCGUGAGCAGGAGGACAUCACAGCUGGCCGCCUCAUACACAUUUCUCUCUCAGACCAUUCAGUCCCUUUCUUUCAUAACCUUUAUUCUAGAUGGCACUUUUGUGUUUCUCUGUUUAACAUUUAGCCAUCCUACAGGGAAGGAAGUGUCAUUUGGGUAGGGCCUCAGUGUGUCUUGUUCAUCCUAGAACUCCUGGUGCCUGGCAGAGAGUGUGGCCCAAUGAACAUCUCGGAGUGGUUUGAUCUUUUCAUCCUGUGUCAGUAAUGAUAAUGAUGACAAGGAGUAAAUGGUGAACUAGCCCUUGCUCUACCCUAGUUAUUAUUCUACAUGCUAUGUAUAUUAACUCUUCCAGUUCUCAUCUGGCCUGUGAGGUACAUAAUAUUAUUAUCUCCAUUUUUACAGUGAGACUGCACCUUUCAAAAUGUUUCAGAUGUUAAAAAUUUAUUAGUCUGUGUAUGCAUACUACCUGUCAUAUGUAGACAUGAAUUAGUAUAUUUAUACAUAAGCAUAUAAAGGACAUGCAGGAGGACAUAAAACACUUCAGAUUGGACUUAUUUGAUUUUAAAAUAUGAAUUAUAUAUUCUGGAGCUUUUUUGGAAAUGACUUACUUUUGUGCUCAGAUAAGGAUGUGAACCCAGUUUAGGGAGUGUACCAGCACUUUACUACCCAAUUUACAGGCAUCAUCUCAUAUUAACCUCACAGCCUCAUGAGCAGCUGUAAUUCCACUUACAGGUGGGAAGACCUAGGUGAGGGGAGAUCAAAAGACCUAUCCCAGGUCACCUGGCUGGUGAGCCACAGAGCAUAAACUCAAGACCAGGUCUGUCUGGUUCCUGGGGCUGUGUUUUUGGCUGCUCCUGGGGCACAGUCCCAAGGUUAGACUGGCCUGUUUCUAAGACCCUGAAAACAAAGUGACUCUACCACAUUCUCUAGAGGUGGCCUAACGCCUUCAUCACUGGAAAAUUUUGACCUCGGGCCUUCCUGUUGCCUUAAUAUUUAAUUAAAAAUACUUGUUUUGUUAAUAUUAGAAGAAUCAGAUAUCUCCUCAUAUGUUGAUUUACCCUUUGUCUGUCACCAUUUGUGUUUCUUAUUUAUGGCCUUUGUCUGUUUUUCUGUUUGACUCUGGACCCCUCAUUCUUGUUGGCCCCUCGUGUUGCUUAGGUUGUUAAGGUUGUUCUCCUUUCCUGUUACAUGUGAUGAAACCACUCUCCUGGUCUGUCAUUGCCUUUAACUGCCUGUGUAUGUUUUGCUCUAGGUUCUUUCUUUUUCUCCUAUAGUAAAAUAGUCCAUCUGUGUUAUAUUUCCACUUCCUCAGUUUCAUUUGUUAAAAAAAAAAAUGAGCUUGGACUUUGUACCAGAUUGAUACAGCUUUGAGGACUGCUAAUAGCAUUUAUGGCUGUUCUCUAUACAAAUUUUUAGGGAACGUAUGAUCUUUGCAUGUACAAAAGCAGAUGUAGUAGGUUUUUUCCCCCCUUUCCUGGUAAUGGGAGUUCAAGAUUGACAUUUUUCCAGUUCACACAAAAAGAGGUGCAACUUCUGAUAUUUAGUACUAUACGUCUGUCUUCUCAUAGAUCCUACCUCUUGUCUUGAAAUUCAGUCGAACAUUUCCUGUACACUCACUCUGUCAGGCACUGUGCCAAAUGCCAUGAGAGACUCCAGGGUGGCCAAGACCUGGUCCUUACACUCAUGGAAUUUACAGUUAAGAGUUCUUAAAGUAUUUAGAUGUUACUUAAUCUUGAAAGAAUUUAGCCUGAAAUGAUGUAGUAAAAAAAGUAACAAAACAUGUGCAUUUGUCUCAUGCAGUGUGUGGUGUUGAUUAUUAGAUAUCAUAUGAAAGUGUUUACGGUUUCUGUUCUUCUUAAUCUCAGAUUCCCUACAAACCCCCCAUUAUAUUCAAAAGUCAUGAAUGUCAAAAGAUUUAAAGAUCUCUCACUGUACAAUGUUUUAUUUAAAUAUGGACUUUUCAUGAAUUAAUGCAAGUGAAAAUCUCAGGAAAUUCAGUACAUUGACUCUCUCAUUGAAAGGUGAGAAGUAUUUGUAAAAUGGUUUGGCCCCUGACAUAUCCCUUAUGUUCUAGAUUUAUUUUUAGGAAACACCUAACUCUAGUUUUUAGGUGGUUUUGUCAUAGAGACCAGAUCUUUAUUUAAAACUAAAAUAUGAUUGAAUCUCUUUAAGUACUGGACAGACAACUGAAGAUUUGUACUUAAACCAUUUUGCCUUCUUCAGAAGAAGGAGAAUAGACUUUUUUUUUAUUAUUACUUAAGGUAUUUGAUUAAUAAUUUGGAUGGAGAAGAAAUCAAGUAGGGAAAAAAAAUGCAAAGAGCCAGGCUGCCACAUUUAAUGUUUACAGCCGCUAGUAGCUUCUCUCUUUACCAGCCCAAAUUAGAGAGUUGGUGGGGUUGUGGGAGGGAAGGUGAAGAGAUGCAGAGGUGGUGAUGAAGAGAGGCUUUCAUGAUUUUGGGCUUGGAUUAUCUAAGGCAGGGAGGAAUGAGAAAAGCGAAUAAGUGAUUUAACAUUUGAUGAGUUUUACUUGGAAGAGAAGCAUAUUUUGCAUGAUUCCCAUGUGAAUGCACACCAGUGGCAAAGCAGAGAGAAUUUCCUUAAUUCUCUGAUGUCAGCAAUGGUAAGACUUAUCAUUGAUUUGAUAACCGUAUGACCUUAAAUAGAGCCUCUGGUUGCUACUUGCAUCGUGGUGGCAUGGAGAGGCCAGAGACUGAGGUCCUCCUCACAACCAGGGCCCCUGGGAAGGUGUACUUGGUGUGAAGGGUCAGAGUUGGGGCAGAGUCGUCUUCUGCUUUGGGGUGAAUUUGGGGAUUAAAAAGGCUUUUGUGGUGAUUAUGGAACAUCCUCAUGGCUUGCUGGGCACCAAGGUUUUCCUCUGGGUUUCAUAAGUACCAGACUAUUCUAGCAUUCUCCUGUGCAGUACCAAUGAUACUUCAUCUGACAUCUUUCAGGUUUUCUGUCAGGACAGAAUGUGGUCAGGAAUUUUGUUUCCUUAUCCUUGUACAUGUGUUUUGGGGUUGGCUUGAAGGUGAUGAGAGUCAUUAGUUCUAGCUCACCUGAAGCUAGUUCUGAAUGAGUCGGGGCUCCUACAGUAGAUGUGGAGUGCACAUACAUACACAGGCAUGAUGGAUCUUCCAAGAUCCACUUCACUAGAUGCUAUAGAAUGGCAGAGUCGUUGCAGAGGCUGAGCUGUAGCAAAGGGCGAGGAGGCUGGCCGGGAGGUGAGCUGCUGUUCAUCUCGCUUUUGGAUGCAGGUUUUAUGAGCACCAGGGGUCUGGUGCUGGGAAGGCUUCAGCUUCAUAGAGUUGACCUAGAAGGGCUGGAGUAGGAGGCGUAGGAGAAGGUGGUGAUGGUAGCUGCUCUGGUCUAGAGGCCAUGCUUUACAGAUGCAGGCAGACCUGUCCUUUCUCAGGGUGACAGGGCCACUCCUGCUCCUGUGAAAGGAGAAAUGAACUGUCUGAUCUCUACUUUAACAAAGGAUAAGAGUACUUGUGAGGACUAAACUUUACCUUCAAAAAGCAAGUAUUUCCUUUUCUCAAGUAUGGGCUCCAGAUAUCCCGAUCUUAUUUGAUCUUGUAAUCAGAUCUUGUACUUUUCCUCUCUGGAUACUCCCAAUAGAUGGACCCUGUAUUGAAUAUUCCAGGAAUGGGAGGGACUACUGAGGCCGAUUCUGCCAGGAAUAGCAGCAGGGGACAAAGUUCUUCCAUAAGUACUGUGGUUGCCGGUCUCCAGCUGGGAGAACUGACUGGGAGCCAAGGACAGGCACUGGCUAGGAUGGGCUCUCAGGCCACAGUUCCUGUCACAGUGUUUUGCUGGCCUGGGUUCAGGUGUUUAGCUAUGCUCACUGGGCCAGGA